UACGAAGGGGGCUAGCGUUGUUCGGAAUUACUGGGCGUAAAGCGUGCGUAGACGGUUAUGUAAGUCAGGUGUGAAAGCCCCGGGCUCAACCUGGGAAUUGCAUUUGAGACUGCAUAGCUAGGGUGCGGAAGAGGGAAGCGGAAUUUCCGGUGUAGCGGUGAAAUGCGUAGAUAUCGGAAGGAACAUCAGUGGCGAAAGCGGCUUCCUGGUCCAGCACCGACGUUCAGGCACGAAAGCGUGGGGAGCAAACAGG
rnacentral:rRNA from 1 species